rnacentral:rRNA from 1 species
CCACGUUGAUAGGCCGGGUGUGGAAGUGCGGCAACGCAUGCAGCUUACCGGUACUAAUAGCUCGAUCGACUUGAUCAUUCUCAUUAU